rfam:Ruminococcus flavefaciens 007c Rf007c_contig00011, whole genome shotgun sequence.
GAACGCCGUGUGACGGGAAACUGUCACGCACGGUGUGGAGUGGGGGAAAAUCUGGUGAUUAUAUCAAAGGAUUACCUAUCACUAU